AGGGAGGGCCUCCGAGCCCCCUGAUUUAAGCCCACGGCCGCCCAGCCUCUUCCGGGCUCGCGCCCGCGGGGAGAAAAAAGAAACCUAAUGGCCCACCAGCCUUGCAGGUGUCCGGAACACGUGGAAAGGUAUUUUUUAGCUUACUUCUAGAGAACUUCUGGACUCGGUCACUGUUUGCGUAGCAGCAACUAGGUCUCUCUGUGUUGAACAAUCUUGUCUUGAAUUUCUGGCUUUGAACUCCUGGCCUCAAGUGAUCUUUCUGCCUUGAACUCCCAAAGUGUUGGGAUGACAGACAGUACAGUGGAUGAUUAAAUAUACCCAUCAUCUACCUUUGACAAUUAUCACCAACAGAUGGCCAGUGAUGAAAACUCGCUCUCUACAUUGAUCUCUAUGUUCGUUUCAGAACUUUGAGAGACAAAUGUGAAGAUGGGGUCUCACUCUGUUGCCCAGGCUGGAGUGCAGCAGCAUGAUCUCAGCUCACUGCAGACUUACUUCCCAGGCUCAAGUAAUCCUCCUACCUCAGCCUUUCAAGUAGCUGAGACUAUAGGUGCAUGCGACAAUGCUUGGUUAAUUUUUGUAUUUUUUCAUAGAUAUGAAGUCUUGCUAUGUUGCCUAGGCUAGUCUCAAACUUCUGGGCUCAAGCAAUCCUUCCACCUCAGCCUCCCAGAGUGCUGGAACUACAGUCAUGAGCCACUGUGCCUGGUCUCAUUUCGAAUUUUAAAAAUAAAUAGCUAGAUCUACCUUAUAUCUUUAUAUGAAAAUAAAUUCCAGGUGGAUUAAAACUUUGUUGACAGAGAACAAACAAUAAAAUUACUAAAGUAAAAUAAGUAAACAUUUACAUUUUCUUGGAGUGAGGGAAUUUCAGUGACAUGUUAAAAAUGCUAAAAACCCAAUGAAAAUGGCAGCACAGAUUUAUGCAUGUUAAAUAGUAGGAAAUGUAUACACUAAAUAUGGUACUUUACCUUGAAAAAGAUGAAGUUUGGAUGCAGAAACGGGGUCAGUGGAAUUUCCUCUUGUGAAUUCUUGUGUGAUGAUCUAAGAAGGGUUUUCUGAAAUUAGAAAAUUUUAACAGAGAUGUGAUGGUUUGUAGCACACAUAAUGAUCUGAAGUAGCUGGUAGAUGUUUGAUGUGUCUGCAGUAACUUUUGUGUAUUCUUGUUUGACUGUGUUCAGUUGGGUGCAGUGUUCUAGUUAUACCUAGUGUUUUACACAGAUAAAAUCACACAUAAGCAAGCAAAGAAAAAUUGCCUUGCACUCAAAUUAUUCUCUAAUACAUCAGUUGGAUUGGAGUAAAUUCUCAUUUUCAAAUAAGUGUCAUAGGAGAACUGACAGAAUAGUAAAGAUGUCUCCAUCUCUUCAAAGUAGCACUGAAAAAAUACACUGGAAAACUGUGGAAGUCUGACGGGUCACUCAACUUGCUCCCUGUGCCCCAGGAAACAUUCUGUGUCAUGGAUCUUCCUGGGCUAGAAGGAAUUUCCUUGAUGGAUUUCCUUAAUGGAUUUCCUUGAUGCGUAUGUACUGAUCCUUUCUACUUGUUUGUUAGAAAGGAUGAGGUAGAAUCAAACAUGCCUUUGAUAUUAAGCUUAUGUGGUCCAAACUGAAAGGGAAUUUUCUAGAGCGGUUUGUAUCAUCUGGAGAAUUCUCUUUUUUCUUUAAUUCAUUGGUUUUCCAGGUUGUUCACUGUGGGGACAUUUUUCUCUUC